GCUUGGGAUAAACAAAAGAGUCGGCCUGAACUCCAUCCCCCAAAAAGAAAACAAAAUUACAGCAAUCAUAAUACUAAAGGUUGCUAUGUUUUCUCAGUGGGGAAGAGCAGCAGACUGUAUAUUUCCUUGUUUGUAUACAUCAUCUCAACUACAUUCUACAGCUUUUGAAGCACUCAAAGUCAUGUCCCGUGCUACUUGUAUCUCUGGAAUGAA
rnacentral:misc_RNA from 1 species